UGGGGAAUAUUGCACAAUGGGCGCAAGCCUGAUGCAGCCAUGCCGCGUGUGUGAAGAAGGCCUUCGGGUUGUAAAGCACUUUCAGCGAGGAGGAAGGUGGUGAACUUAAUACGUUCAUCAAUUGACGUUACUCGCAGAAGAAGCACCGGCUAACUCCGUGCCAGCAGCCGCGGUAAUACGGAGGGUGCAAGCGUUAAUCGGAAUUACUGGGCGUAAAGCGCACGCAGGCGGUUUGUUAAGUCAGAUGUGAAAUCCCCGGGCUCAACCUGGGAACUGCAUUUGAAACUGGCAAGCUAGAGUCUCGUAGAGGGGGGUAGAAUUCCAGGUGUAGCGGUGAAAUGCGUAGAGAUCUGGAGGAAUACCGGUGGCGAAGGCGGCCCCCUGGACGAAGACUGACGCUCAGGUGCGAAAGCGUGGGGAGCAAACAGGAUUAG
rnacentral:rRNA from 1 species